rnacentral:rRNA from 1 species
UCUUAGUUCGGGAGUGAUCUGUCUGCUUAAUUGCGUUUCACUAAGGGCCCAUAAAUUCAAGGUAUGUUAGCUAUCGUCGCUCUAUGGACCCCUUAACCGAGUUAAAUCGAGUUAAGCGCGCGUCUUUAUUUAAAGAGUUUAAACAUUGCGCAUGCUGUUGGGCUCUGAAAGCAACGAACGUGACCGCAACGUCUUGUUGCCUUAAUAAAG